CAUGUGGGCAGGUGCGUGCAGCCAAUUCUUCUUGCCAACCACCACUAAGCUCCAUGGCUGGUGGAGAGGCAUCAUCGUCAUCAGUACUGGAGCAUGUGCGCGCCGCCGAUGGGCAUGGCGGCGGCGGGGUAGGGCAGCUGCCACGGCCGGAGCAGCGGGUCGUCGGCCGGCAUCUCCUCCUGGAUGUCCAUGGCGACGCCGCUGAACUCCUCGACGACGCGGAGCACCUCGUUGACGGAGCGCAGCCGGUCGCCGAGCUCGGCGGCGCGCGCCCGGAGCACCGUGUUCUCCUGCUCGACGCGCGCGUACUGCGACGCGAUGUCGGCGGCGCGCGCCGCCACGCGCGCGUUCUCGGCCUGCAGCCGCGCCACCUCCUGCACCAGCUCGUCCAGGUGCUGCUGCUUCCGCAGCCGCGACCGCCGCGCCGACUCGCGGUUCGACAGCCGCCGCUUCUCGCGCCGGUGCGUGUCCGCCGAGUCGCCGUCCGACCCGGACGUCCUCC
rnacentral:lncRNA from 1 species